GGAGGCACAUACAGGACCUUCACCCUAUUUCCCCUCCCCCAAAUGUCUCCCUUGAAAACCAUCUUUUCCCACUACCUCCUGCAGUGCUUACAGCACCGAAUUUGUGAAAUCACAAUGAUUUCCAUAGCAACAGACUGCAAUAUCAAAGUCAAAGGAUUAUGGCUAUACAAGAGAGUAAAAAGGAGCAGCUGGAGUGUGAGGAAGAAAACACUCAUGUUCAACUAUCUCUAAGAAUAGAUAGGAGAAUGCUGAGAAAGGCUGACAAACAGGCUACCAUCAACCCCUUCUGCUGCAGCAAGUUGCCAAUUCCUGAGAAUCCCUAUCUAUGUCCAGCAACUGAUGUUUGAUUUACAUGUGGUUGGAAUUGCCUGUAUUAAUAUUGCUGCCUCUAUUUUUACCUUUUUUUGUUCCUGUUGUGUAUCAGUGCCAUGUUAAGGUGGUUAGUAGUGUGAUGUUGGUGGCACUGUAAGCACUUUGAUGAGGAGUGGCAUGGAAUACAUCAGCAAACAUGGAAGACCCUAGUGCCAGCUUGUUGUUCAGCUGUGAGUCAGCAGGCUGCUGGCUCAAACCAGGAACAGCUUAACAGUUAGACACUUAUUAAAUAACUAUGCAAAAGA